GUGCUCACUUCAGCAAUACAUAUACUAAAGUUGGAAUGAUACAGAGAAGAUUAGCAUGGCCCUGUCCAAGGAAGACAUGCAAGUUCAUGAAGUGUUCCAUAUUUUU
rnacentral:snRNA from 1 species